GCCUGGGUGGCGCAGUCGGUUGAGCGUCUGACUUCAGCUCAGGUCACGAUCUCGCGGGUCCGUGAGUUCGAGCCCCGCGUCAGGCU
rnacentral:tRNA from 1 species